rnacentral:miRNA from 1 species
UAAGUGCUUCCAUGUUUCAGUCG